rnacentral:rRNA from 2 species
CUUAACCACAUGCAAGUUGGAACGGGAUCCCUGGCGCUUGCGCCGGGGUGAGAGUGGCGAACGGGUGAGUAAUGCGUGACCAACCUGCCCCAUGCACCGGAAUAGCUCCUGGAAACGGGUGGUAAUGCCGGAUGCUCCAGAUGACCGCAUGGGAUUCUGGGAAAGCUUUUGCGGCAUGGGAUGGGGUCGCGUCCUAUCAGCUUGUUGGUGGGGUGAUGGCCCACCAAGGCUUCGACGGGUAGCCGGCCUGAGAGGGCGACCGGCCACAUUGGGACUGAGAUACGGCCCAGACUCCUACGGGAGGCAGCAGUGGGGAAUAUUGCGCAAUGGGCGAAAGCCUGACGCAGCGACGCCGCGUGCGGGAUGGAGGCCUUCGGGUUGUAAACCGCUUUUAUCGGGGAGCAAGCGAGAGUGAGUGUACCCGUUGAAUAAGCACCGGCUAACUACGUGCCAGCAGCCGCGGUAAUACGUAGGGUGCAAGCGUUAUCCGGAUUUAUUGGGCGUAAAGGGCUCGUAGGCGGUUCGUCGCGUCUGGUGUGAAAGUCCAUCGCUUAACGGUGGAUCUGCGCCGGGUACGGGCGGGCUGGAGUGCGGCAGGGGAGACUGGAAUUCCCGGUGUAACGGUGGAAUGUGUAGAUAUCGGGAAGAACACCAAUGGCGAAGGC